rnacentral:tRNA from 1 species
UCCGGUGUGGUCCAAAUGGUAAGGCGGCUCCCUGUUAAGGAGAUGGUUGAAGGUUCGAUUCCUUCCGCCGGAG